rnacentral:tRNA from 1 species
GUGAGUGUAGCUCAAUUGGUAGAGCGCUUGGUUGUGGUCCAAGUCGUUGGGGGUUCAAGUCCCCUCACUCACCCCA